GAUGAAUGCUGGCGGCGUGCCUAACACAUGCAAGUCGAGCGGCAGCGCGGGGUGCUUGCACCCUGUCGGCGAGCGGCGAACGGCUGAGUAACGCAUAGGAAUUUGCCCCAAAGUGAGGAAUAACUGCCCGAAAGGGUAGCUAAUGCCGCAUAUGGUCUUCGGAUUAAAGGAUUUAUCCGCUUUGGGAGAAGCCUGCGUUGGAUUAGGUUGUUGGUAGGGUAAUGGCCUACCAAGCCGACGAUCCAUAGCUGGUCUGAGAGGAUGAUCAGCCAGACUGGAACUGAGACACGGUCCAGACUCCUACGGGAGGCAGCAGUGAGGAAUCUUCCACAAUGGGCGAAAGCCUGAUGGAGCAACGCCGCGUGAAGGAUGAAGGCCUUCGGGUUGUAAACUUCUUUUAUGAGUGAAGAAUAUGACGGUAACUCAUGAAUAAGCACCGGCUAACUACGUG
rnacentral:rRNA from 1 species